GUAGGGGGCAAGCGUUAUCCGGACUUACUGGGUGUAAAGGGAGCGCAGGCGGUGCGGCAAGUCUGAUGUGAAAGCCCGGGGCUCAACCCCGGUACUGCAUUGGAAACUGUCGUACUAGAGUGUCGGAGGGGUAAGCGGAAUUCCUAGUGUAGCGGUGAAAUGCGUAGAUAUUAGGAGGAACACCAGUGGCGAAGGCGGCUUACUGGACGAUAACUGACGCUGAGGCUCGAAAGCGUGGGGAGCAAACAGGAUUAGAUACCCUGGUAGUCCACGCCGGAAACGAUGAAUACUAGGUGUUGGGAAGCAUUGCUUCUCGGUGCCGUCGCAAACGCAGUAAGUAUUCCACCUGGGGAGUACGUUCGCAAGAAUG
rnacentral:rRNA from 1 species